rnacentral:rRNA from 1 species
GACGAACGCUGGCGGCGUGCUUAACACAUGCAAGUCGAACGGUACCAAAGCGUAGUAAUAUGCUUUGGUAUAGUGGCGGACGGGUGAGUAACGCGUGAGCGACCUACCUUAAAGAGGGGGACAACAUCCGGAAACGGAUGCUAAUACCGCAUAAGACCACGGUGCCGCAUGGCACAGGGGUCAAAGGAGAAAUCCGCUUUAAGAUGGGCUCGCGUCCCAUUAGCUGGUUGGUGAGGUAACGGCUCACCAAGGCGACGAUGGGUAGCCGACCUGAGAGGGUGAUCGGCCACACUGGAACUGAGACACGGUCCAGACUCCUACGGGAGGCAGCAGUGGGGAAUAUUGGGCAAUGGGCGAAAGCCUGACCCAGCAACGCCGCGUGAUUGAAGAAGGUCUUCGGAUUGUAAAGAUCUGUCCUAUGGGACGAAUAAAGUGACGGUACCAUAGGAGGAAGCCCCGGCUAACUACGUG